rfam:Arthrospira platensis NIES-39 DNA, nearly complete genome.
AGGAGCCGUAUGAGGUGAAAGUCUCAAGUACGGUUUGGAAGUGGAGUUGGGGAAGGUGACUUCCCUUUCGACCAUAAC